rnacentral:lncRNA from 1 species
UUGACACCAUUUUGUGUGCAGGUGCUAGAUAUGGGGAGCUGGUGCUCGUGGGAUUGUACCUGCUAGAUAUGGGGAGCUGGUGCUCGUGGGAUUGUACCUGCUAGAUAUGGGGAGCUGGUGCUCGUGGGAUUGUACCAGACCCUCGUUUCAUAGCGCAAUAGAUUUGGAAUUCGGCUCUAAAUUCAUGUGCGCUUCAAAUGGUAAAUCAAGACAUUAUUAGUUUUCUCAAUUUCUUAUUAUAAAAUAUCAGCAACAACAUCCUGCUCCUGUAUUUGCAUAAAGAGCUUGGAAGCCACCUCCGGAUCGCCGAUCUCGAAACGUCUAAGGAUCAUAGAAGUCCACGAGGUGACAUUCCUGUGAGGCAUUUCUUGGAAGAGCUGCCAAGCCUCCCCAGCCCCCCACCGCACUUGA